AGCAGCCGCGGUAAUUCCAGCUCCAAUAGCGUAUAUUAAAGUUGUUGCAGUUAAAAAGCUCGUAGUUGAAUUUCGGGGUUAGUAGGUUGGUCAUGCCUCUGGUAUGUACUGGUCUCACUGAUUCCUCCUUCCUGAUGAGCCGUAAUGCCAUUAAUUUGGUGUUGCGGGGAAUUUGGACUGUUACUUUGAAAAAAUUAGAGUGUUUAAAGCAAGCUAACGCUUGAAUACAUUAGCAUGGAAUAAUGAAAUAGGACGUUCGAUCCUAUUUUGUUGGUUUCUAGGAUUGACGUAAUGAUUAAUAGGGAUAGUUGGGGGCAUUAGUAUUCAAUUGUCAGAGGUGAAAUUCUUGGAUUUAUUGAAGACUAACUACUGCGAAAGCAUUUGCCAAGGAUGUUUUCAUUAAUCAAGAACGAAAGUUAGGGGAUCGAAGACGAUCAGAUACCGUCGUAGUCUUAACCAUAAACUAUGCCGACUAGGGAUCGGAUGAUGUUAAUUUUUAAUGACUCAUUCGGNGCCUUAC
rnacentral:rRNA from 1 species